rnacentral:rRNA from 1 species
CGAAACUAACAGAUUUACUUCGGUAAUGACGUUAGGAAAGCGAGCGGCGGAUGGGUGAGUAACACGUGGGGAACCUGCCCCAUAGUCUGGGAUACCACUUGGAAACAGGUGCUAAUACCGGAUAAGAAAGCAGAUCGCAUGAUCAGCUUUUAAAAGGCGGCGUAAGCUGUCGCUAUGGGAUGGCCCCGCGGUGCAUUAGCUAGUUGGUAAGGUAAAGGCUUACCAAGGCGAUGAUGCAUAGCCGAGUUGAGAGACUGAUCGGCCACAUUGGGACUGAGACACGGCCCAGACUCCUACGGGAGGCAGCAGUAGGGAAUCUUCCACAAUGGACGCAAGUCUGAUGGAGCAACGCCGCGUGAGUGAAGAAGGUUUUCGGAUCGUAAAGCCCUGUUGUUGGUGAA